rnacentral:rRNA from 1 species
UACGUAGGGUGCGAGCGUUAAUCGGAAUUACUGGGCGUAAAGCGUGCGUAGACGGUUAUUUAAGUCGGGUGUGAAAGCCCCGGGCUCAACCUGGGAAUUGCAUUCGAGACUGAAUAGCUAGGGUACGGUAGAGGGAAGUGGAAUUUCCGGUGUAGCGGUGAAAUGCGUAGAUAUCGGAAGGAACAUCAGUGGCGAAAGCGACUUCCUGGACCAGCACCGACGUUCAGGCACGAAAGCGUGGGGAGCAAACAGG